rnacentral:rRNA from 1 species
AUUGAACGCUGGCGGCAGGCUUAACACAUGCAAGUCGAGCGGUAACAGAGAGAAGCUUGCUUCUCUGCUGACGAGCGGCGGACGGGUGAGUAAUGCCUAGGAAUCUGCCUAGUAGUGGGGGAUAACUUGCCGAAAGGUAAGCUAAUACCGCAUACGUCCUACGGGAGAAAGGAGGGGACCUUCGGGCCUUUCGCUAUUAGAUGAGCCUAGGUCGGAUUAGUUAGUUGGUGAGGUAAUGGCUCACCAAGACCGCGAUCCGUAACUGGUCUGAGAGGAUGAUCAGUCACACUGGAACUGAGACACGGUCCAGACUCCUACGGGAGGCAGCAGUGAGGAAUAUUGGACAAUAGGCGAAAGCCUGAUCCAGCGACGUCACGUGAAUGAUGAAGGCCUUAGGGUUGUAAAAUUCUUUUAGUGGAGAAGAUAAUGACGGUAUCCACAGAAAAAGUCCCGGCUAACUUCGUGCCAGCAGCCGCCGAGUAACAC